rnacentral:rRNA from 1 species
GACGAACGCUGGCGGCGUGCUUAACACAUGCAAGUCGAACGGUGAAGGCGGAGCUUGCUCUGCCGGAUCAGUGGCGAACGGGUGAGUAACACGUGGGCAACCUGCCCCUCACUUCGGGAUAACUCCGGGAAACCGGGGCUAAUACCGGAUACGACCUCCUUGGGCAUCUUUGGAGGUGGAAAGUUUUUCGGUGAGGGAUGGGCCCGCGGCCUAUCAGCUUGUUGGUGAGGUAGUGGCUCACCAAGGCGACGACGGGUAGCCGGCCUGAGAGGGCGACCGGCCACACUGGGACUGAGACACGGCCCAGACUCCUACGGGAGGAAGCAGUGGGGAAUAUUGCGCAAUGGGCGAAAGCCUGACGCAGCAACGCCGCGUGCGGGAUGAAGGCCUUCGGGUUGUAAACCGCUUUCAGCAGGGAAGAAGCCGCAAGGUGACGGUACCUGCAGAAGAAGCACCGGCUAACUACGUGCCAGCAGCCGCAGUAA